rnacentral:rRNA from 1 species
CCUACGGGUGGCAGCAGUGAGGAAUAUUGGUCAAUGGACGAGAGUCUGAACCAGCCAAGUAGCGUGAAGGAUGACUGCCCUAUGGGUUGUAAACUUCUUUUAUAUGGGAAUAAAACGUUCCACGUGUGGGAUUUUGUAUGUACCAUAUGAAUAAGGAUCGGCUAACUCCGCGCCAGCAGCCGCGGUAAUACGGAGGAUCCGAGCGUUCUCCGGAUUUAUUGGGUUUAAAGGGAGCGUAGGUGGAUUGUUAAGUCAGUUGUGAAAGUUUGCGGCUCAACCGUAAAAUUGCAGUUGAAACUGGCAGUCUUGAGUACAGUAGAGGUGAGCGGAAUUCGUGGUGUAGCGGUGAAAUGCUUAGAUAUCACGAAGAACUCCGAUUGCGAAGGCAGUUCACUGGACUGCAACUGACGCUGAGGCUCGAAAGUGUGGGUAUCAAACAGGAUUAGAUACCCGUGUAGUC